UCCAGAGGUCUCAAGCGUUGUUCGGCUUCAUUGGGCGUAAAGGGUGCGUAGGCGGCGCUGUAAGUCGGGUGUGAAAUUUCGGAGCUUAACUCCGAAACUGCAUUCGAUACUGCGGUGCUUGAGGACUGGAGAGGAGACUGGAAUUCAUGGUGUAGCAGUGAAAUGCGUAGAGAUCAUGAGGAAGACCAGUGGCGAAGGCGGGUCUCUGGACAGUUCCUGACACUGAGGCACGAAGGCCAGGGGAGCAAACGGG
rnacentral:rRNA from 1 species